rnacentral:tRNA from 1 species
GAGGGUAUAGCUCAGGGUCAGAGCGCGUGCCUACCAUGCGCAAGGUCCUGGGUUCAAUCCCCAGUACCUCCA